UACGGGGGGGGCAAGCGUUGUUCGGAAUUACUGGGCGUAAAGGGCUCGUAGGUGGCCAACUAAGUCAGACGUGAAAUCCCUCGGCUUAACCGGGGAACUGCGUCUGAUACUGGAUGGCUUGAGUUUGGGAGAGGGACGCGGAAUUCCAGGUGUAGCGGUGAAAUGCGUAGAUAUCUGGAGGAACACCGGUGGCGAAGGCGGCGUCCUGGACCAACACUGACACUGAGGAGCGAAAGCCAGGGGAGCAAACUGG
rnacentral:rRNA from 1 species